GUGGUCUCUUCAGUAAGAUCAAGGGCAUCAAAUGGUUCAAACCCAAAUCCAGUAAGAAGAGCAGCUCCACUUCAGCUACCUCUGCGUAAGCCCUAAGCUUGCUGCAGCUGCAAUCAAACUGCUACCCUCCAUUUGUACUCCAAUUCUUUGCAUCUCUUCUUCUUUCUCCAUUUCUUUGUAUCUCUCUCAAUGUACCCUUGAUUUUGUUUGUAUGCAAAUACUACUUUCUUUGCUCAGAUUAGAUAACUUUUCUACAACUAGCACAUAGAAACACAACUCUACUAUGAUUAAGUUUGUGUUUUUAG
rnacentral:lncRNA from 1 species